AACCUGGAGGCAGAGGUUGCAGUGAGCUGAGAUCGCGCCAAAGGAAAGGGUCAAGGCAGAUCCAUUUCCCUCAACAUUUGGGCACAGACAGGCCUUUCUGGUAUAGGGGGAAGAGGCGGAUUUUGAUUUCGAGCCCCGUAAUUUGUUGAUUCUGAGAGUGUGCCCAUAGACAGGUUCACUGAAGGCUGCGUGGACAGCAAAUGCAACGGGCUUUAUGUUGAAUGGUGGCACACUUUGGGGAGCAGAGGAUGCACUGUAGGCUCACACCCUACAUCCGUGUGUUCCCUCUGUGUCCCAAGCCCAGGGGGAUGCCCAGCCUCAUCCUGCCCUGUCUUCCCAGGGCCAGCGGCAGUCAGCCCAUGUGGCUGCUGCACGAACCCCGCACUGACGCUGGACCAAGGCCUUGAGUGCCGUGCACGGACCACCUGCUUCGGACCCCACACCUGCAGUGCUGGGGAAAAUUACACCUUUUGGGGCCCCACGCCAGACCUCCCAGUCAGGAUCUCUGGGGUCUGUGCCUGGGGACUGCACUGAACCUUCAUCUCGGGUGAUUUGAGAGCCCCAUGAGAGUCCACCUGUGCCUUCCACACCUUUCCUCUGGGGGUGACCGUCCCACAGGGACCAGCCCCAGCCCUGCUCUCCGGGCCCCUACCACCACUGCCUCUUCAAACGCCGGCCCAUGAACCCCACAGGCACCCCGUAAGGCCGGCAGCAUCGUUUCCAGAUGGGCCCAGAAGCUUGAGCCGUGGCAAAGCUCAUGGGAUUUGGGAGCUGGGAUUCUGGGCUACUGUGCCUUGCACUCGCCCAAACCCAGCAGAGACUGUGGACUGGAGCAAGAGCGCUGUGAACCCAGCCUGGCUGCUCCCUGGAGAGGAGGGCGCGGGACUGGACUGAGCCCCACAAGCCUGAGGGAGGAGCACGGGCCUCAGGGGCUCCUGCUCUGGGCUACCACGGCUUCUUCCUGGCUGUGUUUCUUCUGGUCCAUCGGGCAACCUCUCUGAAUUCAACUGUCCAAUCAACAAAACGUGGGUAAGGGAGCACCCCUUUGCCUCUUCCAGGGUGGAAGGGGAGGGCGGGGGUGACCCUCUCUCGGCUUCCUCCCCUGUCCACCUUCCCAUUUUAGACCUGGGAUGGGAGACGUGUAGACUGUGUUCCAGGAUUCAGUCCCAGGUUCUUGGCAGAUGUGAAUGCUUGGCUGCCCUUCAGGCUGAGUGUAGCUGCCACAAAGACAAAGGGCCCAGCUGACCCUAGGGCUACUGUGUGCCCUCAUUCUGAGGCCUGCGAGUUGCCAGCCCUAUCCCUUCAAAGGGGUAGUUAGGUGCGUGUAUCUCACACCUGGACGCAUCACAAUGAGGUGGGAAAGUCAAGCACCUCCACAGCCCUUCCCUCUGGGACCCAGGGGAGUCUUCCCAGCCCCUAGCACUCCCCACUCUCCACCAAGGCCAACCAGCACCUGAGGGCAGGCCCCUCCCUGCCCCCAGCACAACUUCCUGACCAGGGACCACAGGCCUAGGGUCUGUGUCACUGAUCAACUGUGAAGGCUGAGACAUAGCCACCCCCACCCAUUCUGAAAAGGAAAAGCCCUCAGAGCUUCCCAGACUGGCACCUGCUCCUAGGGUGUGAGGAGGGUAGCACAGGGUCUGCCCUCAGAGACCUCAGGCUCAGAGAAUCAAGCUUCUCCCUCCCCUCCUGGGACCUACAGGGUCUGAGAUCGUCCACCAGGAGGAGGAGAAAGGAGUAGAGACCCCCUUCCUCGCUGCUGUCCUGGGACAGCCGGCACCCCUGGCACCCUCUGCCUCCCCACACUUCCAUGGCUUUGCCCUCUUGGCUUUCUGAGCCUCUGCCAAGCUUCUGUGCAUUCUUCAAGACCCACCUCAAAAGCCACCUCCAGGAAGCUGUCCUGGGUUCCUGUCCCUCGACCCCCAACAGAAUUAACUGCCCUCUCCUCUGCUCCCGCCUCCUGCUCCAGGCCCCUGGGGCUCACAGCUCUCAGGCUGUGGUUUUUCUCACCUUCCUGCAGCACAGCACCUCCCUGCGCAGACCAACCUUAUCCAAUCAACAAACGGGCACUGAGUCCCUCCCUGAGCAAGCUCCGUGGAGGAAAGGGGCCGCCACGUGGGGGAUGUGAGAUAGUUUAUCCCCUUGGCCUACAUGUAGGGGUGGGCUGGAUGAGGCACCCCUCUCAUUGAAAGUCCUGUGGAGGCUCUGAGGGCACCCACAGUAUCUAGAGCUGGGGCCAGAAGCUGGACCUGUUGCCAACCAAGACGCUGUCUCCCUGGCCCUUGCUUCCCUCACUGUGAGAAUAGGAGCGGUGCACGCAAAGGCAUGCCCUCAGCAGCCCUUUGAGGGGGGUGCUGUGAGGGGAUUGGUGGCCAGGGCACAGAAAGGUUAAGUGGCUGGCUGAGGUCACACAGCAAGGCAGGUGCAACUCCAAGAGGUCUCUGCACAGGGCAUGUUCUCUGUCUGCCCUCUCUGCUACUCCAGGUGUGGCCUCGGGAGAGGGCUGGUCUCCAACUGCACACUUCCUGGAUAGCAGUGAUCAUGGACACAUUUCAGGUUGGGCACUUGCAGUGCCAAGGGGAGGAGGACGCAAUGUGAAGGGAAGGUUUCUUGGUCGUGGUCUGGAUUGACAAGGAGGGCCAGAGGCAAACAAGGAUCAUCCAGACGGGACGGUUCACCUCUCCCUAACCUCCACAGCGACCCCAGGGCUGUUGGGCACCAGAGGAGGAAAUGCUGACUCACUAAUAGGAAGCUGGGACACACCCUCGUGUUGCAACCGUGGCCUCCCGGGGGUGCGUCGGCCUCAUCUGGCCACUGGGCUGGCGUCCCCCUCUGCUUUCCAUCAGCGCAUACUGGAUUCCCUCACCUUUUGCCGUCCCCACACUGCGCCACCCUGCACCUGGCACCACUCAGCACCUCCUCCUGGCCCUACCCGUCCGCCAUGGAAUCCAGCCACUGAGAAAGGCACCAUUGAAACAGACAUAAUCAUGGGUCAGAAGAUGUGACUCAGCCUCUACUCAAAUCUGUUUGUCAAACCAAAAGGUGCUUCGUGUUUAAGUCAAACUAUCCCUAAUGCAUUUUCCAUUCUCUUCAAAAACCACAGCCAUCAGUUUUAAAAAAAGACAGAAAACAUGAAGCACACUUCUCUUGCCUGGCUUACCAUUUUCUUUGAUCCAUUAAAAUCCAAGAGUGAGCCCUUCCUCGUCUCUAGAGUGUGGAGCAAAGAGGGAAUAAUUAUCCAUAAAGUGGCCUUCUGAGUGUUUGCUUUGCGAUGAAAGAAAACUUUUGAGAGCUUGGAAUAAAGAAGGAAUAUGGGCUCCCUUUCCUGCAGUAGCUACUUUGUUUGGGUCUGAGAAGCACCAGUCAUGGUCAAGCAAAAUUCACCAGACUCAGAAAACUGCCCUGCCCCGUGACUUCCAUCUGCUCCUCUCCUGAUAAUUGUAAAAGCCAAUGAAGAUUGUGCUUCUUAACUACACAUCAGCCGGCUGAUUGUAAGUGUUGGGAAUAUAAUUAGGGGUACACGGCUCUGACCCUCACUCUUCGUAGGUUUAACAAGAUUGGACUUACGCAAUGGCAAGAAGGAAACCGAGAUUGAAAAUGACCAAUUUUGCUGGUUGAGAGGCGUCUUGUUUUCUGGAAGAAACUGAGAAUCUGCAGUUGUAGACUGGGAAUGCUAGAACCUCUGGAGUGGCAUCAACUCGAUCGGGGGCCAAAACCAUGAGAAAGCACCAAUAUUUUCCACCGUUUUUAACCAAACUCGGCUGUUGUUGGUCUAAAACCUGCCCUGGGUUUUGAGGGAGCGGUGCUUUUGUGAGCCCAGCUUGCCUUGAGUGCAUGGAUGGGAACCUGAAACCAGCCAGUCUUGCCUCCCACCCUCUCAACUUUUCCAGUAAAAAAUGUGACGGGCACUUUUUUUCCAGUAAAACUGUUCCCCCAGCAGGACAGCCUAUAUGCAGCUAGGUUCCUGGCAAAUGAGCAGGGAAUAAUAGCUGGCUAGAGGUGGGCGGGACUGAAAUACAGCUGUCCACCUCUCCGGAAAACAUCACCCAGGGUUCUCCCCAUCCCCAUCUGACCUUCCAGCCACUAAACAAAUAAAUAAGGCCUUAGAAGCUCCUAGAGUCAACCACAGCCUCAGCUUCUAAACCGAGGCUGUGAUUCUACGAAACUCACCUCACAUCUGUGUCAUCUUUGAAAGACUCCAAUGGCUGGAUUGGUUUGAUCCUAUUCCGAAGGGCUUAUAAAGAAGAAUCCAGCCGGGUGUGGUGGCUCACACCUGUAAUCCCAGCACUUUGGGAGGCCAAGGCGGGUGGAUCA
rnacentral:lncRNA from 1 species